CCUACGGGUGGCAGCAGUGAGGAAUCUUCGUCAAUGGCCGAGAGGCUGAACGAGCCAAGUCGCGUGAGGGAAGACGGCCCUACGGGCUGUAAACCUCUUUUGUCGGGGAGAAAAGCGAACCACGUGGGGAUCAUUGAGAGUAACCGAAGAAAAAGCAUCAGCUAACUCCGUGCCCGCAGCCGCGGUAAUACGGAGGAUGCGAGCGUUAUCCGGAUUUAUUGGGUUUAAAGGGUGCGCAGGCGGAGGUGCAAGUCAGCGGUUAAAUUGCGGGGCUCAACCCCGUACUGCCUUUGAAACUGCGAGACUAGAGUGAAGGAGGGGGGAGUGGAAUUCUCGGUGUAGCAGUGAAAUGCGUAGAUAUCGAGAGGAACACUCGUGGCGAAGGCGGGUUCCUGGACAUUAACUGACGCUGAGGCACGAAGGCCAGGGGAGCGAAAGGGAUUAGAUACCCUUGUAGUC
rnacentral:rRNA from 1 species